UUAGAGAGUUUGAUCCUGGCUCAGGAUGAACGCUGGCGGUAUGCCUGACACAUGCAAGUCGAACGAAAAGAUUUUAUCUUUUAGUGGCGCACGGGUGAGUAACGCGUAAGAAUCUGCCUUUAGGUAGAGAAUAACAACUGGAAACGGUUGCUAAUACUCUAUAUGCUGAGAAGUAAAAUAUUGUACUAUUGUUAUUGUACUUUGCCUGAAGAGGAGCUUGCGUCUGAUUAGCCUGUUGGUAAGAUAAUAGCUUACCAAAGCUAUAAUCAGUAGCUGGUCUGAGAGGACAAACAGCCACACCGGAACUUAGAUACGGUCCGGACUCCUACGGGAGGCAGCAGUGAGGAAUUUUCCGCAAUGGGCGAAAGCCUGACGGAGCAAUACCGCGUGGAGGAUUAAAGCCUAUGGGUUGUAAACUCCUUUUCUUAGAGAAGAAGUUCUGACGGUAUCUAAAGAAUAAGCAUCGGCUAACUCCGUGCCAGCAGCCGCGGUAAUACGGGGGAUGCAAGCGUUAUCCGGAAUUAUUGGGUGUAAAGCGUCUGUAGGUUGCUUACUUAAGUCAGUUGUUAAAUCUUAGGACUCAAUCUUGAAACAGCAACUGAGACUAUUAAGCUAGAGUUGAGUAGAGGCAGAAGGAACUCCGAGUGUAGUGGUGAAAUGCGUAGAUAUUCGGAAGAACACCGAAGGCGAAAGCAUUCUGCUGGGCUAGUACUGACACUGAGAGACGAAAGCGAGGGGAGAGAAUGGGAUUAGAUACCCCAGUAUUCCUCGCCGUAAACGAUGGAUAUUAGAUAUUAGGUCUUAUAAUCUAGUAUCGAAGCUAACGCGUUAAAUAUCCCACCUGGGGAGUAUGCUCGCAAGAGUGAAACUUAAAGGAAUUGACGGGGGCCCGCACAAGCGGUGGAGCAUGUGGUUUAAUUCGACAACGCGAAGAACCUUACCAGGACUUGACUACAUCUAUACCUCUUUGAAAGAAGAGAUUCUUAAGGAUGCCAGGUGGUGCAUGGCUGUCGUCAGCUCGUGCCGUGAGGUGUUGGGUUAAGUCCCGCAACGAGCGCAACCCUUGUUCUUAGUUAAAUUUCUAAGAGUACUGCCGGUGACAAACCGGAGGAAGGUGAGGAUGACGUCAAGUCAUCAUGCCCCUUAAGUUCUGGGCUACACACGUGCUACAACGGUUAACACAAUGAGUUGCGAUUUCGUAAGAAGGAGCUAACCUCAGAAAUUUAAUCCGAGUUCGAAUUGUAAGCUGAAACUCGCUUACAUGAAGCUGGAAUCGCUAGUAAUCGCUGGUCAGCUAUACAGCGGUGAAUACGUUCCCGGGCCUUGUACACACCGCCCGUCACACCACGGAAAUUAGCUACACCCAAAGCUAUUACCUUAACCAUUACUUGUGGAGAGGGGUAUCUAAGGUGGAGUUAAUAACUGGGGUGAAGUCGUAACAAGGUAAGGCUACUGGAAGGUGGCCUUGGAUCACCCUC
rnacentral:rRNA from 1 species